rnacentral:rRNA from 1 species
AUUGAACGCUGGCGGCAGGCCUAACACAUGCAAGUCGAACGGUAGCACAGAGAGCUUGCUCUCGGGUGACGAGUGGCGGACGGGUGAGUAACGUCUGGGAAACUGCCCGAUGGAGGGGGAUAACUACUGGAAACGGUAGCUAAUACCGCAUAACGUCGCAAGACCAAAGUGGGGGACCUUCGGGCCUCACACCAUCGGAUGUGUCCAGAUGAGAUUAGCUAGUAGGUGGGGUAAUGGCUCACCUAGGCGACGAUCCCUAGCUGGUCUGAGAGGAUGACCAGCGACACUGGAACUGAGACACGGUCCAGACUCCUACGUGAGGCAGCAGUGGGGAAUAUUGCACAAUGGGCGCAAGCCUGAUGCAGCCAUGCCGCGUGUAUGAAGAAGGCCUUCGGGUUGUAAAGUACUUUCAGCGGGGAGGAAGGCGGUGAAGUUAACAGCUUCACCGAUUGACGUUACCCGCAGAAGAAGCACCGGCUAACUCCGUGCCAGCCGCCGCCGUAA